UCUUCCUCUCUGGUUACAUAAUACAUACAUAUUUCUACUCGUCCUGCUCGCACUCUUAUUCGGAUUCACAUUCAAGAAAGAGAACAUUCGUUCCCAGCCAGCUGACUUGAAAGAUACAUAUUUUCGAAAGCGUGUUUUUCGAAUUUUGAAAAGAUGGGAAAGCCCAAACCGGCCAGUGGAGAGGAGGCGAAGAAGCCAAAAGUCGUGAAAAAUGCGAAAAAGCCAAAGAAACCAAAGGCAAAAAAGGCCAAAGCGAAGAAAACUCCAGCCAAGAAGGACAAGGGGGCACUUAAAGGGGUGAAGAAGUAGGAUUGGUUUUUCUUGGCCAAUUGAAAAGGAUUUUUGUGGUGGGGACACAUUUUUUAAUAAAAUUACUUAGACUGUGUAAUCAGCAUGGUUAUUAUUUGUAACUCAUUUAAUUGUGUGUUAAAUAAAUUACAUUAGAAAGUUUUUUUGCA